CCCCGUGGCUGGCCACCCGCGGCCGCAAAAGGGAUAGCAACACUAGGCCGCAGUGGCCGCCCACGGCCGCAGACACAUGCGUGCGCGGGACAGCUAGCUAGCUAGCUCCGGCCGGCCGGCAUGCGGCCGCUAGCAGCUUUCUAGCUAGCUAACUGGCCGCGCACGCGCGGCAGGCAGGCCUUGAGUUGCAAGCCGGCCACUGCAAUGUAUGGUGCGGCUACACUUGGCCAUGGCUGGCCACGGCUGCUCACAAGGCAACGCCAGGCAGCGGCAGGACCUCUCACCCUCGGCUGAGCGAGCGCACGUAGCAAGUAGCAAGGACAAAAUGCCGGUACGUCACCAUGAACGUAUUAUGUUUCCCCUGAAUCCCCAAGCGCGGCCUGCCUGCGCUUCCUUCCCCGACGGUCACAUCCCCGAUCCCAUUACACAACCGCACUUAUAUCAGAAUGUGGUACUUACACCCUUUGUAUUCUAAUACUGAAAUUAUUACUAAUUAUCCAUACUAAUGAUUUUUUAUAAUUUGUAAUGAAGUUUGUUUCACCAAUCAAGUAGUUACGAUAAGUAAUAACUAACGUGACUAAAAAGCUCCUAUGGUGGUACAUAAACAAACGAGUCUGACACAAGGUAGAUACAUGGUUUCUCUAGCCAUUAAUUCUGCAAGCAUGCAAGAGCAAAAACUUGAUCAAAUAAUUAUUAUCCAUGUCCAUUCUAUUGCAGGCAUGCAAGAGCAAGUGCUAUGAGGCGGGCACUGAGCCAAAUACAAUGUUAGACAAAUCACGUAUUUCCAUACUACAUUUAUUUCAAGAUUAAAACUUACGAAUACAAUGAGUCAGACAUCACACAAAUGUCUAAAUGCAUAUCACCAUUGUAUCAAAAGUCUGUUAUAUGUAACUAACAGAUAGUCAGUAUUUUUUAAAUUUCUUUUGUAAUGAUUUGCCAAUACGUCUACUAACACUUUUGUUAGUUGCCAUUUGUCUCAAGGAUGCACCCUAUAAUAGCUUCAUGCACACUGACUUAUAAGGAUAUCACCAUGAUGGAUACGCACAAGCUUUCGUCUUCUCCAAGUUACAAGUCGUCACCAACUUAGUCUUUGCGUUCAGUUCGGAUUCAGCUGACCACCCUAGACGGAAACAGCGAUAUCUCCUUCAUACAACAUCGAACUGAAGAGUUCUUUGAUGGUUGGAAAGAAGAUGAUGAAGGCUUUCAUUUGGUUCUGGACCUAGCUCCAGAAAUAUUGUGGAUCAUUCUGUGUGACUACGAUAAGGGAAAAGCCUUCUUGGUGAGGUCAAUCGAGUUGUGCUUGGUUGAUAACCAACGGAGUAGCGCUAUAGUGGUUGCAGGGGUUCAAAUCGUAUUUGAUUGAAACCUGGAUCGUCAACAUCAAGUUCUCCACCAAUCGAAUUACCCAUACCUAUCGGAAGAUCGGACCAGUGCUACAUCAAGUGGUAUCAAAAUUUCAGGUUGUCUGUGAGAGCUAAACCUUGCCAACGGAACAUACGAGCUGCAUCCGGUGCCUAAGGAUGGAGUUGUA